rnacentral:lncRNA from 1 species
CUGAAGUCAUCAUCUUCAGCACUGGAUUUCAAUGCUGCUGUUAUAUCCUCUUGGAUGCCACACAAAGAUGAGAAUCGAUUAUGCAGUUCUUCCUUCAACACGGCACCUUUUUCCAUCCAGACAGUUAUUUCACCCUGGAUCUCUGUUAGGUGUUUGUAAAUUGGUUUUGCAUCUGAUCUUAUAGAAUACUUUAUACUACUACUACCCUCUGACGUCUUUCCUCUUUCCUGUAGUUUUGACAGCUCGGUCUCCAAAUCUUUGAUAGUGGUUUGAAACUUCUGUAUCUCAGAGUAAUAAGCACUGAAAUUUAACCAGAAAGUUAAGUUCUGCUCUAGAAUUUCAUCCAUGUUUGACCGGAAUUUGUCUUCAAUAGGUGAAGUAGAUUGAGGUUCAACUUUUAGAACUUCCUCCAUGCCGUUCUUUUCUGAUGGCAUCACUACAGUUACCUCUGCCAGAUCUUCAUUUCCUUCAAAGCUUCUCUGCAAGAGAACUAGUUUUUGACGCAGAGUUCUUAUCUCUUCAUCUUUCGUGGCAUUGGCUGUCUUCAGUUCUUUUAGCUGCACAGAU